rnacentral:rRNA from 1 species
UACGGGGGGGGCAAGCGUUGUUCGGAAUUACUGGGCGUAAAGGGCUCGUAGGCGGCCAACUCAGUCGGACGUGAAAUCCCUCGGCUUAACCGGGGAAUGGCGUCCGAUACUGGAUGGCUUGAGAUUGGGAGAGGGAUGCGGAAUUCCAGGUGUAGCGGUGAAAUGCGUAGAUAUCUGGAGGAACACCGGUGGCGAAGGCGGCAUCCUGGACCAACACUGACGCUGAGGAGCGAAAGCCAGGGGAGCAAACGGG